UUUCCAGAUAAGAACACAGCUGGAGUGCUUUAUAAUUCUGGCCUUGUGCAAGCAUAAACGGAGAAUGCAGCCAAGUCCACCUGGCCUUAUGAUCCAUGGAACUGGAAAACAAUGAAGAAAAGGGAAUUUGGACACACAGAGUGAUGCCAGGGAUGCACACGCACAGAGGAUGGACCGUGUUGGGGACACGGCAAGAUGGCCUGCCAAGGAAGAGAGAAGGAGAAACCAAAGCUGUCAACACCUUGAUGUGGGACUUCUAGCUUCCACAACCGUGAGAAAAUAAAUUUAUGUUGUUUGAAU